AUUGAACGCUGGCGGCAUGCUUUACACAUGCAAGUCGAAUGGUAACAGAUCUUCGGAUGCUCACGAGUGGCGAACGGGUGAGUAAUACAUCGCAACGUGCCUAGUAGUGGGGGAUAACUACUCGAAAGAGUGGCUAAUACCGCAUGAGAUCUACGGAUGAAAGCAGGGGAGUGCAAGACCCUGUGCUACUAUAGAGGCCGUUGGCAGAUUAGGUAGGUGGGGGGAUAAAAGCUGACCACGCCGACGAUCUGUAGCUGGUCUGAGAGGGGUAGCAGCCACACUGGGGCGGAGACACGGCCCAGACUCCGACGGGAGGCAGCAGUGGGGAAUUUUGGACAAUGGGCGCAAGCCUGAUCCAGCAAUGCCGCGUGCAGGAUGAAGGCCUUCGGGUUGUAAACUGCUUUUGUACGGAACGAAAAGCCCUGGGUUAAUACCCUGGGGUCAUGACGGUACCGUAAGAAUAAGCACCGGCUAACUACGUGCCAGCCGCCGCCGUAAGAC
rnacentral:rRNA from 1 species